CAGCUCGGUUAGGAACAGUGAACAAAUCUGGAGGGAGGAAACGACACAAUGAAGAAACGUUUAACAAAAUGGUCUCAGAAGAUGGCUCUGAAGAACCAGCAGCAGGAUUAUUGCUUUAAAGAACCACCCAAGUUGUGGAGGGCUGCUCAAUGUAGCCCAAACCUAACCCAGUGUAACCCUGUGGAGGAUACUGGGAAGGACAAAGAAGACUGGAUCACUUUGGAUAUUUAAACCAAGUUUAAAUAUUUGCAUGUUGGUAAAGAUGUGAUAAAACUGACUGUAUAAUAAUCUAAUAUCAAACUCCUUGCAAUUUAGCAUUUCUAUAUGUAAAAUAAAA